CUCAUCCCCCUGUGAAACCAAAUUGAAACCCUAAUAUUGAAGUUGGUUUUCCCCUUUCUGCUACCACUACCAUCAUGAUCAUCAACAUCAUAAACCCCCAAAUCCUUUUCCCUCUAUUCUUUCAAGGACCUAGAGAUCUCUUUCUGUCUGCAGAUAUCCCUAAACUCAAAACCUAAUGGUCAUUGUCAGGAAGAUUGUGUUCGAUUCGAGUUUGAUAUCUACAUCAAGGUGGAUGAAUCAGAUGGAUUUUGGAUAGAAAUUGAAAUCCAAGAAUUAGGGUUCUGUUCUGGUUCGAUUUUGAAGAAGAGAUAAAAGGAGAUGUUAUGAUGGAAUCGUAGAUUGGUGCCGAGAAAUCAAGAUGAGAAGAUGACAUCGGUGUUGGAGGAGAAGCUCUGAUGCAAACAUAGAAGAAUUACAGGCUUUGUGGUGUUGAUUUUGUAGAUCACUGGAAGUGAUUGAAGUAUGAAUGGCAGUUCUAAUAGGUUAAGGAGAUUAGGGUUCACCCGAUUUCAGUACACAGUUAGAUUUACAAGGCUGUGAAGAUAAUGAAGUUGAUAUGGAGCAGGAAUUGGUGGAAAGACACUUACAACGUAUUAUAGGAGCUUGUGGAUCUAGAAGAGGGUAUGACUGAGAGAAAUUACAUAAUUUGCCAAUUAUCAUCCCACUGGCACUAUGGGGGUAUAGCGAGGUAUCAAACAAGAAUGGAAAAUUCUACCAGGAACACCUCCCUUUUUUUCAAUUUCCUGCAAAAUGGAAGCGUGGAAAAAAAAAACAGACAUUUUUCCAACUCAGAUGCGUUUGGCCAUAUUAGAUAAAGCAAGAGAGAAACCCAUUAAGGAAAAUGAUAGAAAUACGAAGUAAUGUCUUCGUUGAACCAUGCACAUGAGGAUAUCUUUCUCAAAAAGCAUAUAUUUUUGGCGAAAAUUCUUUGUUUUUUCUUUAAUUACGAGUGUCUCAAAAUAUUGGUGCCCGAGAAUGAAGCGAUGGAUACCAAUUAUGGAUGUAAGGCUAAGAGUGGAGUCUCAAUGAGUCCGGACUCUGGAGCGACCAAAGUCGGGUUUGUAAUUGUAUAAUCCGUUUGGAGCUUUUUUUAAAAUAAUUUUUCUUCCUCGUUUCUCAAACAAAACCUUCUUUCUUCCUCUUUAUGUUGAUUUGUAGAGAAACCCCCUGAAUUCCAGUUUCUUAAAUUAUUGGUGAUGAUCAUGUGUUUGUGCUUGGAUCAGAGAUUGCAUAUUAUACCGAGAUGAAAUAGAAGCAAUAGAUGGAGAUGGAAUCCAUUUUGUUGCUUCUGCAGGGAGUGUUAGAGUAUUCUGCAGGGAGUGUUAGAGUAUGUUGAUUGAGGAAUUGGGAGUUAUAUUGAUGUAAAAGAUGGAUUAGGUAUGAUAUUAAUUGGCGAUGAAAUUGAAAUCCCAGUAAUGGGUCCACCUUGGGAAUAUGUUUAACCAUGUUAUUUAUUCAUUAGAUAAGGUGGCGUAUUCCAGAUGUUUUUUUUAUAAUAAAUGAUUUUGGGAAAGUAGA